rnacentral:tRNA from 1 species
ACCAUGGUGUAGUGGUUUGAGUGUUGGACUAUGACACCGGAGACCAGGGUUCAAUUCCCAGCGUGGUA